UACAGAGGGUGCGAGCGUUGUUCGGAAUUAUUGGGCGUAAAGCGCAUGUAGGCGGCCUGUUAAGUCGCGUGUGAAAGCUCCCGGCUCAACCGGGAAAGUGCGCGCGAAACUGACAGGCUUGAGUGCUGGAGAGGGUGGCGGAAUUCCCGGUGUAGAGGUGAAAUUCGUAGAUAUCGGGAGGAACACCAGAGGUGAAGGCGGCCACCUGGACAGACACUGACGCUGAGACGCGAAAGCGUGGGGAGCAAACAGGAUUAGAUCCCCUGGUAGUCCACGCCGUAAACGAUGGGUGCUAGCUGUGGCGGGAGUUGACCCCUGCCGUGGCGACGCUAACGCAAUAAGCACCCCGCCUGGGAAGUACGGCCGCAAGGCUAAA
rnacentral:rRNA from 1 species